AACGCACAUGGCGCCUUCCAGUAUCCUGGGAGGCAUGCCUGUCCGAGCGUCGUUUCAACCCUCGAGCCCCUGUGGCCCGGCGUUGGGGAUCUGCCACGGCAGGCCCCUAAAACCAGUGGCGGACCCGAAGGGCCCUCUCCUUUGCGCAGUAGCAUUCGCCUCGCAUCGGGAGUCCUCGGCGUCCUGCCUCUAAACCCCCCACAAGCCCGCUUCGGCGGCACCAAGGUUGACCUCGGAUCAGGUAGGAAUACCCGCUGAACUUAA
rnacentral:misc_RNA from 1 species